UUCGAGCGUCAUUUCAACCAAUCAAGCCUAGGUUGGUCUUGGGGUAUGCGGGUUUCCGUAGCCUCUAAAAUCAGUGGCGGUGCUAGUUAGCUCUGAGCGUAGUAAUACUCCUCGCUAUAGAGUCUAGGUAGUGUCUUGCCAACAACCCCCCAUUUUUUCAGGUUGACCUCGGAUCAGGUAGGGAUACCCGCUGAACUUAA
rnacentral:misc_RNA from 1 species